UUGAAGACCAUUUUGAUAGAA
ensembl:piRNA 21ur-5785 ncRNA